GUCUCAAAGCUGCUGACCUUUGAACAAGAACUAUGCCAUGAGCUCUCUUGAUUCUAGGCUUCCAGGAUAUGGGCAUGCAAGAUGUGACAUAAGACUGGUCCCCUGGAGAAGCAGCUGUGGCCUCUGAUUGGAGGAAAGUAUUUCAUGACCAAGUGGCAUCUGAGAGCUUUGAAAUGGGAGUCUUGUUGGAAACCAUGAAUAGGAAAAUAAUAAAUCAUCUUUUCAUACCAACAUAAAAUACAGAAAGCAGGAAAAAUCAACUCAAGUAACAAAGAUGGAAACUGAAUUCUGCUUCAAUUGUAUAAAAAGUCACCUUCCUCAUGCAGCCAAAAAUUCAGAGCGAGUCUCCUGGAGUGCCCUCUAUUAAAAGAUACCAUCUCAGGACAUAGGAUGCUCGGGAAAUGAAAGUGACAUUAAUCUGCAGGCAGUGACCAUCUCCUUCACGCCAAUGUACAAUCUGAUGAGAGAUGAGUCCAAUUGCUGGCGCCCGGAUGCAGUGUCUUGGCCAGAGCCUCAGGCAAAAUGCCACAGCUCUGCCUUCCAUUCAAGAAUUCACCCAGGGGACUUCCCUGGUGGCCCAGUGCCUGAGACUCCAUGCUCCCAAUGGGGCCCAGGUUUGACCCUGGUCAGGAAACUAGAUCCCACAUGCCACAACUAAAGAUCCUGGAUGCCACAGCUAAGACCUGGCACAGCCAAAGAAAUAAUAACAUUUUUUUAAAGGAAUUCACCUAGCUGCUCCUUUCUGCCAGCUUUAUUCAUCACUUUUCUCCUUUCUCUGGGCAUAGGAUUAGUGAAUAAGGGAGUCACAUGCUGGUUGAGUGCCAAUCAGUGAUGAAUUGGCACAAAGUAUAGUGAUGCAAUAUCAACAUUUCUAAUU
ensembl:lncRNA